rnacentral:lncRNA from 1 species
CAGCGCGCUCGAGGCCCGGACGCCAUUGUCGCGGCUGACGAGACAGUAGGAGAACUUCCGGCUGGAGAGCUGGGAUGGAAACGAGAGCUUCCCAGCGCCGAGGCCGAGAAGCCCCGCGGCGCCAACGAAGAGUCCCUCGUUAUCGUGGCCACAGCCGAAGACCACCGGGCUCGUUCGGCCUCGGCUAACCAAGAAGGAGUCCGAGGCGAGGUCCCCGACCGUGAAGGAGCCAUCGCCGUACGAGACCUGGUAGAGGCAGCGAUUGUCCGUACUCGCGCAAGCUUUGACGUCGAGGAGCUUGCACUGCGGCGUGG